CCGGGCAGGAUGUUGUAAAACAAAAGGAAAAAAACGCGAUCAUGCAUAUAUGCAGGUAAACGUAUAUCUCUCCCCUACGUACCUGGGUCUGGGUAUAUAAUUGCGGUGCUUUUAAGACAUGUGAAAUGAGAGAGAGAGAGAUGUGGAAUGUGGAACAAACGGGGUUUUAUCACGGCUCCCCCUGGAGUUCUCAAACCUCUCAAAUUCUCUCAUGUCUUGAGGGUUUUCUUCUUACUUCAGGGUGGAAGACACAUUUCGAAGUAAGAAAAUUAAAUAAAAUUAAAUAGAAAAGAAAUAAUCAUAAU
rnacentral:sRNA from 1 species